AUAUUAAAAAUAAAAAUCCUAAUUGAAUCCUAAAAAAAUUCUUAUGUAAUCUUCAACAAAUCUUAAAUAAAUCCUAAUUAAAUCCUAAUGAAAUACUAAACCAAUCUCAAACAAAUCAUAAUAAAUCUUAAUCAAAUCUUAAUCAAAUCCUAAUAAAAUAUUAAAUCAAUCCUAAAAAAAUUCUAAAUAAAUUUUCAUAAAUUCUAAUAAAUU
rnacentral:lncRNA from 1 species